GCCAAAAAAAAAAAUCCUCCUUUUUUGUGAGAAUUAAGAAAAGAGAUGUAAUUUUAUUGUGGUCACUGAUUUGUCCUCUUGCAAAGAAUGACAGAUUUAUACAUACAUGCAUAAAUGUCUCUAAUUUAAGGAAAAACAGAUAAAGGAAAGGAAGUCCAUUCUUUUACAUAUAAUGUGUGCAUGUAGAGAGAGAGAUGAAGGAGUAGGACUAGGUAAAAAAUGAGAAAAGAAGGGCCCAAAAUGAAACCACCAAUGAUACUUGAGUUCUGGAAGGGAGCCACAUCCUAGGUUUUCUGAAAUCAAUCUUGGCCAACUAAAUGCAAAAGCAGAGUUGGAGACCAAUGGAAACAAACCACAUACAGAGUCACAUUUUAAAAUAGAAACAGGUGGAAGGACCAUGGCGUCGAGAGAUCAAUUCAUCUGCCAUGAUUCAAGGUGAAAGCUUGACAAAACAAUUAAAUAAAUUUACCAACCAAACAGAAACACUUCAUGGCAUAAUAUCGUAAUGGUAACACUAUAUCAUUUUAAUUAUGUGUAUACAAUAUACCAUAAACUGAUACCCAAUCUUAUAUCAAUAGCACAGAAAAAACAACAUUAAGAAAAUAGAGAAAGUAAAAGGGGGAAGUCAAAAUAUAACAGAGGCAUGCCUUUAUUGCACUUUACACCAGAAAGGCACACACCUCAGGUAGCCAAUCUGAACACAGUAGAGGCAUUAGCCCUCGCAUUGUUGGGCCUUGAGCCUAAUGCACAGCUUUAAAAACUACAAGCAUCAUAUAAUCGAAUUUAAUAGUAAGCCAUUUCAAAAUUUUUAUGAGAUUAGUUAUUAGUUCAAGAAG
rnacentral:misc_RNA from 1 species